CUCGACGUUUAUUAUAUUGAGUUGAAAACACCUCUAAAUAAUUGUCAUACCACCAUUUAUUAUAAGAAAUCGACUAUAAUCGAAGUGCUAUAUACAAAUUAUCAUAUUCUCUUGGCUGUAGUAUUUAUACACGAGUUCUAAAAAUUGCUUCUACAUUGCAACAAAACUACAUUUCUGAACAUGCGCAGAGGACCUUUUUCCUAUACAAGAAUACGAUCUCUUUUUAGUAUAAAUUGAUAAUUUUGUCAAACGUAGCUCUUUUACAAUUUCUCAAAACCUAUUUCGUUGCACGCUAAUUAAAUUGCUAUAAGGCCAUAUAAAAUAAAUUCCUUGAUUCUCAUCACCGCCCGACGAUAUUUUGGUUUCCGCGUUGAUAUAUUUUUGUAUUUUGUUAUAAAAUAUAAAUUUACCGCCUGACCGAGCAUCUUCAGAGAUUUAGUUAUUUUUAUAUUUUAUAUUGGAAUUUUUGCGAUAUAAAAUUGUUUUAUCGUUAAUAUUGCAACAUGUUAAGGGAUGCUUGGAAUACUGAAGGAA